rnacentral:lncRNA from 1 species
AAGCCUACAAGGUUGUCAUACCAACGUAUGUGCCCUCACUCGCUUACCAUACGUUUUGGUAUGAGAACCUUGUAGGCUUGCAGGCGCAUGUAUAUGAUCUUGGUGUUAUGUACUCUUAAACUCUUUAUAAUUAUAUUAUUCUCUUUGUUCUUCCUCCAUUUUAUUAUCGAGUAGAAAAAAAGGGGUAAUGAAAUCCAACCAUAAGCUUAUUCUCCAAAUGAAAAGAUCAUCAUUACUCGAAAAGGUUCAUCUACUAAGUUCUGUGCAAAUGCUCACGACCAUCAUUACAAAGAAACAGAGAGGUCAAGAUCAAUCUUACAUAAACCAACAGUUCUCUUUCUCCCAGCUGAGGUUCAGCCCUUGUUUUCCUGUAAAGAGAACAUGAGCUAAAAGAUAUUGGAACAAACAUAACAAGAACAAAAUCACCUCAGACAAAAGUAGUCGAAUGGCAGUGAGAAAUAAUACGAAAAGCUUAGACCUGGGGAGUGUUGUUGUUCAUGGAGAGAAGAAGCCUCUCAACGUAUUUGCCCAUGAUGUCAACCUCGAGGUUCACUUUCUGCCCAACUUUCUUGGUGGGAAUCACGACAUUGAGCUGCGUGUAAGCAACGAGCAUGAAGUUAAAGCAGCUGUCCUCGUCAGACACGUCCACCACCGUCAGGCUCGUCCCGUCGACGGCGACAAAGCCCUUGGGGACAAUGUAUUUGAGCAAAGCCUUGUCCGCUCUCACCUUCACCCACAGCGAAUCUCCCUCGGCUUCCAUCGAAACUAUCACUCCCGUACCGUCCACGUGUCCCUGCACCACGUGUCCGCCCAUGCGGCUCACCGGCUGCAGCGCACGCUCCAGAUUCACCAGAGACCCUCUCUCCAGCUCCUCCAGCGACGUCUUUCGCAGCGUCUCCGGUGCUAGCCCCACUGUGAACUCCUCGGUGUCGAAAUCGGUUACUGUAAGGCAAGUCCCGUUGACGGCGAUGCUGUCGCCAAGCUUCACGUCCUCCAGCACCACUCUCGCCCCGAUUUUAAGGUCGAAUCCGCCGUGGUCAGCCAAUCCCAGAUCCUUUACGUGGCCCAUUUCUUCCACGAUUCCCGUGAACACGGAUCGGAUGCCCAGAUUUUGCCUCCGACAUGAUGUCAGCUUUGUUGAGUCAAAUCUGAGGAGAUUUGGUCUGAGUGAAGCCAAGGUUGGACGAAAUGAUUUGGGAAGCAGAUUCAACGAGUGAGUCCCCAUCAUCGUUCGUGCCGUGAAUUAUUAUCCCAACCACGGCGGCGCUAAGUCCUCGUCUCUCUAGAUCGUGCGUUCUUAAUUACAAUCUCAAAAAUCAAUAGGAUACACAAAAGAACCCUGCCCAAUAACCCAAACCGACCCGACCCAAAAAUAAUACUAGUAAUUUGAAUCUCACAAACACAUCUGUUCAUGGAUUUUGUUUUACUGUAAUUAAGAUUUCAGGUUUCACACAACAGAACCCGAAUAUGUUACCGACACGUGAAAAAAUCCAACAAAAUAAAUUUAGAUAAUUGUUUUCAAAUACUUUAGAUACUUUUAAUAGAUUUAUAUGUUAUUUAAUAUUGUCUAGAUAAUAGAUAACAAUUUCAUAUAUCAAAAAAGCCAAAAACAAUCUAACCCGACAGAAAAUGUGAUAUGACAGUUACGAUUACAAAAAAAAUCAAUGAUGAAAUCCAAAUCGAAUAUUUGUUGGAUGAUAACCAUACAUUGAUAUCAAACUGAUCUUGUUUCACGCUUAUUAACAAUUGAAAUGCUUUCUCGCAUCACAACAUGCCGCAGGCAGCACAAGAGAAAAAAUUUCUAGAUAAAGAUAUUUUUUUUUUGGUUAAAACUGUUUCGAAAGAGAUUCCUUCCUUCCGAAAAGUUCUCUUGAACCCGUCGAAGAAUCUGCGAUAACCAUUACACCUAUAAAACGGAACAAAACGAGAAUAUCUCCGAUUACAAAAACCGGCGGAAAAUGAAAAUAUCCCCAGAAACUUAGCCAAAAUAAAAUCAUAAUAUUGAAUAACAAAGAAGAAAAUACUAUUAGAAAAGAAAUUCCGGUGCCGGUGCUAGAAAGCCACCGGUGCAAGGUCACAAAUUCUUUUUUUCCUCUGACUGCUGACCUUAAAUUAUAUAUAUGGUUAUGUUACAGAGAAAUUCUAUAUGAUAGACCUAAAAAUUUUUUGUCGCAAAUAUAUACCUUAAAAAUAAAAAUGACUAAAAUAGACUUAAAUGUUUUAUCAAAAGAAAUAAAUAUACGUUUAUACCCCUAGGGUUAAUUAAUCUAGACAUUAGAGUUUAGAGUUAAGGGGUGAGGUUUAAGGUUUAGGGUUUAAGGUUUAGGAUUUAAGGUUUAGAGUUGAGGAGGGGGUUUUGGAGAUAGAAUUUCAAAUUUUUUUAAAAAAAAAUAAAAUAAAAUUUUCAAAAUAAAAAAUGCUAUUUUGAUCAUUUUAGUUUUUGAGAUAUAUUUUUGUGACAAAAACUUUAAAAAAUCUAUCUGAGAGAAUUACCCUAUGUUAUAUAUAUAUACUAGGGGUUGGUCCGCCCUACGGGCGGGUGAGUUUACACUAAAAUUAUUUUAUAUUAAAAUAUAUUUUAAUUUUAUAAAAUAUUUAGAAAUUUACUUUAUAUUGAAGAGGGACUUUUACGUGCACAACGCUCUCUUGAACUCUUGCAAAACCCACGGCUCCCUGAGCAUUGCCGAGACCACGUUUCAGAAGAUGAUAGACCUCGGCUUGGCUUCCAACAACCCUAAACCCUACAACACCAUGCUCUCUCUCUACCACAGUGCUGGAGAUCACGACAUGGUUGUCAAGCUCCUGCUCGAGAUGGACGACCAAAGAUUAGAACCCCAAGGAGUUCCCUUUGGCAAGCUCUUUUCCUGUUUCGCUCUUGCAUCAUGCGUCAAAGACUCUGUGGGAAUGGAGAAGUUUCUCAACAAGUGGAGGGACCGGAUGGAGCCAUGGGCCACAUGCUUCUUCCCUGCAUGCCUCUAUAUGGAACUUGGAUCUCUUGAUAAGAGUUUGUCUUUGUUUCGUAAGACUGAGGAGUUACUCGAUGAUGACUGCAGAAAAAACAUGUAUGGAGCUCUCAUGAGAGUCUAUUGUCAUAAAGGCGAAAGAGAGGACGUUUACCGUCUCUCCAACUUGGCUAAACUCCACGGGAUAUCCUUCGACGCCACUGUAACUUCUGAGAUGAUCAAGUUCUUUGCCUUGAAGCACGAUUUUGAUGGGGCUCACGAGAUCAUGGAAGAGUGGGAUACAGGGGCUGGAGAUCUUGGUCUUUCAGAUUUUGGUCACCGGAAAAGAUGCAUGAAAGAGGAGGCUGAUAAAGCUAUCAACAUGCUUGGGAAGAAGUGGGAGAGCAAGUGGGAGAGUUUGACUGACAUGUUACAGCAAAACUUGGCGGAGGGUGAGGACGAGGAUGGUGAAAGGGAGAGGAGGAAGAGAGUGACGGAGGCCUUGGAGGGGAGGCUGCACGAACGCUGGAACCCAAAGACCACUAUGACUCUCUCCGCUUACGCCUGCGUGCAGUAUGUCGAGGGUCGAAGGGACAUGGAAAGUGCAGCUGAGAUUCUCAAACUGCUUAACAAACAAGAGCUAGUGUCACGUGCAAUGGACAAAGACAGAUUGUGUUUGAAGAUGGUGGAGGCUAUGAGAGGUGGAGGAUACGUUGGUGGACAAGACUAGCAUAAAUAUUAAUCCAAAAAACAAUAUUUGUAACUCAUAUAAUUGAUUUAACAUUAUUAAUCUAGUAGACCUCAACCAACAGAAAGAAAAAAAGAAGGCUUUAUAAUAUUUAAAUCCAAAUGGUGUUCAAGCAAGACUCUUCUGGCUACAAUCUUACUUCAGUGUUGUACCGACUUUCUUCCACAUGAACAGAAGAGCUUAUAAUAAUAGUUGAUUAACCGUACAAUAUGAACAACGCAAGCCUACAAGGUUGUCAUACCAACGUAUGUGCCCUCACUCGCUUACCAUACGUUUUGGUAUGAGAACCUUGUAGGCUUGCAGGCGCAUGUAUAUGAUCUUGGUGUUAUGUACUCUUAAACUCUUUAUAAUUAUAUUAUUCUCUUUGUUCUUCCUCCAUUUUAUUAUCGAGUAGAAAAAAAGGGGUAAUGAAAUCCAACCAUAAGCUUAUUCUCCAAAUGAAAAGAUCAUCAUUACUCGAAAAGGUUCAUCUACUAAGUUCUGUGCAAAUGCUCACGACCAUCAUUACAAAGAAACAGAGAGGUCAAGAUCAAUCUUACAUAAACCAACAGUUCUCUUUCUCCCAGCUGAGGUUCAGCCCUUGUUUUCCUGUAAAGAGAACAUGAGCUAAAAGAUAUUGGAACAAACAUAACAAGAACAAAAUCACCUCAGACAAAAGUAGUCGAAUGGCAGUGAGAAAUAAUACGAAAAGC